GGACAUGACUCUCGGUAAUGGAUAUCUCGACUCUCGCAUCGAUGAAGAGCGCAGUGAAAUGCGAUACGUGGUGCGAAUUACAGAAUCCCGUGAACCAUCGAGUCUUUGAACGCAAGUUAUGCCCGAGGCUAGCCGGCCGAGGGCACGUCCGCCUGGGCGUCAAGC
rnacentral:rRNA from 1 species